rnacentral:rRNA from 1 species
UACGAAGGGUGCGAGCGUUGUUCGGAAUUACUGGGCGUAAAGGGUUCGUAGGCGGGAGCUUAAGUCAAGUGUGAAAUCCCCGAGCUUAACUUGGGACGUGCAUUUGAAACUGAGUUUCUUGAGUAUUGGAGAGGGUGGUGGAAUUGUUGGUGUAGGAGUGACAUCCGUAGAGAUCAGCAGGAACAUCAGAUGCGAAGGCGACCACCUGGCCGAUUACUGACGCUGAGGAACGAAAGCGUGGGGAGCAAACAGG